rnacentral:siRNA from 1 species
GCUGCUUGAGUUGGAGCUUCUA